rnacentral:ncRNA from 2 species
UUGAAUAUAAAAUUCCGAGCUAAAUUGCCUAAACUGAAAAGAAUGGCAACUAGCCAAUGGGUAUAGCGGGAAACUACUUUACCUCCCAUUUGGAAAGGAAUGUAAUUUUAGAGAUA